AAUAGAUACCCAGGUAGUCCACGCCGUAAACGAUGAGUGCUAGGUGUUAGGGGGGUCCAACCCCUUAGUGCUGAAGUUAACACAUUAAGCACUCCGCCUGGGGAGUACGACCGCAAGGUUGAAACUCAAAGGAAUUGACGGGGGGCCCGCACAAGCAGUGGAGCAUGUGGUUUAAUUCGAAGCAACGCGAAGAACCUUACCAGGUCUUGACAUCCUCUGACAACCCUAGAGAUAGGGCGUUCCCCUUCGGGGGACAGAGUGACAGGUGGUGCAUGGUUGUCGUCAGCUCGUGUCGUGAGAUGUUGGGUUAAGUCCCGCAACGAGCGCAACCCUUGAUGUUAGUUGCCAGCAUUCAGUUGGGCACUCUAACGUGACUGCCGGUGACAAACCGGAGGAAGGUGGGGAUGACGUCAAAUCAUCAUGCCCCUUAUGACCUGGGCUACACACGUGCUACAAUGGGCGGUACAAAGGGCAGCGAAACCGCGAGGUGAAGCGAAUCCCAUAAAGCCGCUCUCAGUUCGGAUUGCAGGCUGCAACC
rnacentral:rRNA from 1 species